UUUUUUUUUCUUAAUUGUCCUUGCUAAUAUUUUAGUUGUUUACUUUGUGAUCUUUUGAGUAUGAAUAUUGGAACUUAGGGAUGUUUGCAACUUCCAGGCUUUUGUUAACACAUUUUGAUGAAAGGAAUAAUUAAAUAAAUCACUGCUCGAUUUUGUGAAUUUUAAGUUCCUGCAUGGAUUAAUAUUUGCUUGAUGAAUUAGAAGCACAUUAUACCAAAUGAUGCAUUAUGAGAUUUUGAAAGCUGCUGUCAGGUUUGUUUUAUGGGUGCAAGGUCGUGUUCUAUUUUAAAGAAUGGACAAAGUCUAAGGCUUUAAGCUUUAAAACCCUGCUCUACAUACUAGGAGCAGGCACAUCAGAUUCAUCAUGCAUUACUAGUCAUUUACAAGUAUGGAAAUAUGGCAUUGAUGCUCAAUUUUUGUGGUGCCAACUGUGGGGAUGAAACUCAGAUCUCAAAUCUUGUUGGCAUUCAAAAGUUUUAUAUGACUAAUAUACAGCUGGAUGGCACUGAUGCAACACAAGCAAACACUAUAUACAUAUACUACAAUAGGCCAUACAAUAUCAUCAUGGAGUAGCAUGCCUUGAUAUUUCCCAAAGAUCAAAAUGUGUGACUAAUACGUGAAGUUUAAUUUCCAUAAUGCACUUUGGGAUCCUAGUUAUAUUGCUGAAAUAUGUGAUGAUUUAUGCUAGCCAGA
rnacentral:misc_RNA from 1 species